rnacentral:rRNA from 1 species
GGGCGAAGCCUGAAGCAGCACGCCGCGUGAGGGAUGACGGCCUUCGGGUUGUAAACCUCUUUUUUCAGGGAAGAUAAUGACGGUACCUGGAGAAUAAGUCACGGCUAACUACGUGCCAGCAGCCGCGGUAAUACGUAGGUGACCAGCGUUGUCCGGAUUUACUGGGCGUAAAGAGCGCGCAGGCGGUCGUUCAAGUCGAGUGUGAAAGCCCCCGGCUCAACUGGGGAGGGUCACUCGAUACUGAUCGACUCGAAGGCAGGAGAGGGAAGCGGAAUUCCCGGUGUAGUGGUGAAAUGCGUAGAUAUCGGGAGGAACACCAGUGGCGAAGGCGGCUUCCUGGCCUGUUCUUGACGCUGAGGCGCGAAAGCUAGGGGAGCAAACGGGAUUAGAUACCCCGGUAGUCCUAGCCGUAAACGAUGGACACUAGGUGUUGGUGGUAUCAACCCCACCAGUGCCGUAGCUAACGCAUUAAGUGUCCCGCCUGGGGAGUA